rnacentral:rRNA from 1 species
GACGAACGCUGGCGGCGUGCCUAAUACAUGCAAGUCGAACGCAUUUUCUUUCACCGUAGCUUGCUACACCGAAAGAAAAUGAGUGGCGAACGGGUGAGUAACACGUGGGUAACCUGCCCAUCAGCGGGGGAUAACACUUGGAAACAGGUGCUAAUACCGCAUAAUUCCAUUUACCGCAUGGUAGAUGGAUGAAAGGCGCUUUUGCGUCACUGAUGGAUGGACCCGCGGUGCGUUAGCUAGUUGGUGGGGUAACGGCCUACCAAGGCUGCGAUGCAUAGCCGACCUGAGAGGGUGAUCGGCCACACUGGGACUGAGACACGGCCCAGACUCCUACGGGAGGCAGCAGUAGGGAAUCUUCGGCAAUGGACACAAGUCUGACCGAGCAACGCCGCGUGAGUGAAGAAGGUUUUCGGAUCGUAAAACUCUGUUGUUAGAGAAGAACAAGGAUGAGAGUGGAAAGUUCAUCCCUUGACGGUAUCUAACCAGAAAGCCACGGCUAACUACGUG